rnacentral:rRNA from 1 species
GAUGAACGCUGGCGGCGUGCCUAAUACAUGCAAGUCGAGCGAACGGACGAGAAGCUUGCUUCUCUGAUGUUAGCGGCGGACGGGUGAGUAACACGUGGAUAACCUACCUAUAAGACUGGGAUAACUUCGGGAAACCGGAGCUAAUACUGGAUGAUAUUUUGAACCGCAUGGUUCAAAAGUGAAAGACGGUCUUGCUGUCACUUAUAGAUGGAUCCGCGCUGCAUUAGCUAGUUGGUAAGGUAACGGCUUACCAAGGCAACGAUGCAUAGCCGACCUGAGAGGGUGAUCAGCCACACUGGAACUGAGACACGGUCCAGACUCCUACGGGAGGCAGCAGUAGGGAAUCUUCCGCAAUGGGCGAAAGCCUGACGGAGCAACGCCGCGUGAGUGAUGAAGGUCUUCGGAUCGUAAAACUCUGUUAUUAGGGAAGAACAUAUGUGUAAGUAACUGUGCACAUCUUGACGGUACCUAAUCAGAAAGCCACGGCUAACUACGUG